rnacentral:lncRNA from 1 species
UUUGGGAAUUGUAUUAGUCAACAUCCCAAUCCACUCAUUAUCCUCAUGGUUUGUUUUUUUUAAAUAAACCCACCAUCCAUACUGGAUAUAUUGCAUUCAAGAACCCUAUUGCAAUUGGAUUAAUCUUGAAAAAAAAAAUCUAUAUCAACCACUUAUCCCCACAACUUAUGGCUACAACUCAGAAUGUAUAACAUCCCAAAUCCCUCUUUCUCUACAUCUUGGUCGUAGUCCCCCAUACCACCCUCAUAUGUUUUUUUUUUUUUCAAUAACAAAUCUAUACAAGUGUUGGAUUUCAAGUGAGUUCUCAAGUUCAAGCCAUCCAAGUUUUCUUUAUCCUUAAUCAUCCAUUCUUACUCGAUCUUUAGUUCAUGCAUUGGGCACGGUUAGGUCGCCGCACGUGCACAUGGACAUUGCUAUUUAUUAGUUGUUAUUUGGAGCUUACGCUUUUCCGAUAAGGU